ensembl:processed_transcript A630052C17Rik RIKEN cDNA A630052C17 gene
GCUGUCCCUAGUGGUGCUAGUCAGAAUACAGUACCGGAGCCCAGCGUUUAACCCUCAGGUUGUGCCGCAACCGAUGCACUAUCCCCUACCCCACCGUUCCAAUACCCUUACCGUCGGACUCGGCACGAACCAGCAGCGACAUCCCCUUGAGCUCCUCUACGUUCGUACGGGCUGCCCUAGCAGGGGCUACGGCGGCCGACGAGUCCAACGCACAGUACCUUUACCUCCGAACACACUUCCGGAGAGUCAGACCUCGGCGAUCUCGCGAGGAGUGCGCCGCCGAGGUGAGCCGGCCAAGGAGGGACUUCCUCCUCUUUCGGCCCCGCUUCCUGAUUCGGGAAUCUCAGUUGGGCGGGGAAGUCCCGCGAGCUUUUCUACCUGCGCCGGGAGGAAGCGUGUGUAGAAGGUUGCCUUGGCGAUGGUGUUGCCGAGUUGUUCUUCGGGAUUUGUAGGGCUGAUGUUGGUCAUGUGGCGGGUUGUCAACUCUGGACUUGCUCUCAGCAGAACAGAGCCAGGCUGAGAAGUCCGAAUGCGUGCACAGGACUAGAGUGAAGCCAAGUGUAGGGACUCAGGCUGACAGCCCGAAAAGGACUGAGACGGGGUGAGGGUGUUCGAGUCAUUCGUGAAGACGAUGGGAGGUCGAGCCUUCACCCACUAAAAUCCGUUAUAGAAUCUGCGAGGCUUCUGCCGGGAAGGUGUUCCAUGGCCACGAUGAGCAGUGGGCGAUCUAAUGUUCCACAAACGCGUUGACAGUUCCUAUUUCCCGCCGAAGCGUUCUUCCGUUAGCCGGGUACCACGGACCAUUAAAAGGUUCAGAGAGACCGGCGGCAGCGACGAGGCAAGCACAGGCGUACAGCCUCACAAUCCUCGGGGAGCUCUCAGCUUCAUGUGCCGCAAGAACGGUUUCCAGCGUGAAGUUAACGUCGCUCAGAGCGUGAUGCUCGCCCGAAGGCAUCCGCUCCCAGCGUAGUUCUGCCGCCUCUCCGUUCUCUUAUAUGGUCCCUCAACUCUUGGCUCUAACCUGAAAGGUGAACACGGGGCAGGUGCACAUGUUGAUCCCGCGGUGUAUUUCGGGAGUUGUAGUCAUCACCAUGCUUGUCAAAGUGUGCUUAUGAUUUGACGAGGUUAGGCGGCAACUCAUGUUUAAAAGGGUGUCUUAUGUACAUAGUCGCUUGAUUGAAAAGGAUUUCAAAAUUUGAACUAUCAUUGCGAUUCUUUAAAUGUAUGAGGGACCAAGAAAAUUAGCCUGGUCUGCUGUCAUUUGCCUGUAACGACUGCAUAUGGAAAUUGCAGCCUAUGGUAUGUAACAGGAUUCUGCCUAUGAUAAAAGGACGUGAAUCACUAUACAUAAGUCCCUGAUAAUCUGUGACCGAUAUGGACAAAAUGUACUUUGAACCAGGGAAAAUAUGACUUGUUUGGGGAAGGCCAUAGAAAGCUUUCCAGAGUCAGUAUUUUAGCCCAAUGUUAGAGGACACCCAAGGAUUAUGUCUAAGCAUCCUUUUCAUUGCCCACUCUAAAGGAGAAAAGAACGUUGGCAAGAGCACUGGAUAGAUCCUGGAAGCCCACUCAGCCUUUAGGACAGAAAUUUCAGGUGCCCAGAGCAUUCUCUGUAGAAUGUUUUGGUCAGGGUCCAUCCAGCUUAUGCUGUAGUCUGGAAGCAUCACUGUGCCAUAGCCAUACCUUCCCCCAGAGUCUUUUACAAGGAAACUACAACUCCAAAAGGUUGUAGCCCAAAUGAGCCCCUGAUGUCCUUGAUCUUUACAAGUAAUACCUUUAUAUGUAAAAAAAUUAAAAUGGCAAAGAACUUCUGCAAUGCAAGGUAAGUCUCUUCAGCUCCCGCUUCCCGCUAUUCUCCAGAAAACAGUGACUAUAUCACUCCCCACUAGAUCCCCUCUCAUUCUCACUGUGUGUGAGGUUAGACUGGGGGCAGUUCCUUGGUGUGUGUCCUAUACAUUUGUACAUUUGAUUUAAUGCUGCUAUCAUCAUCUAAAAAUGUUAAAUAAUUUUUGAACAUUGUUUUUUUUCCACUAGGUUUUAUGCUGUAUUUUGUUUUAGAAAUAGUUUAGCAUGUGCAAAUGUGUGUGUAAAUAUACUGUAGUUGUCUUUUGAUGAUUUAAAUGACUGUUUCCAGGACUCAAAUCCAUCCCAAUAUCUGUAUGAUGAAGUCUUUCAUAUAAAAUGGCAUAUGUUUUGCUUAUAACCUA